CUAAGCGGAGGAAAAGAAACCAACAGGGAUUGCCCUAGUAACGGCGAGUGAACAGGCAAGAGCUCAGAUUUGAAAGGCACUUUUGUGCCGUUGUAUUCUGAAGUUAGGGUCCUGAGAAACGAUGCUUAAGUCUUCUGGAAAGGAGCGCCAUGGAGGGUGAUAGCCCCGUCUAGCAUUGACCUCAUAUAGGAUCUUAACAUGGAGUCGAGUUGUUUGGGAAUGCAGCUCAAAUGGGUGGUAUGCUCCAUCUAAAGCUAAAUAUCUGCGAGAGACCGAUAGUAAACAAGUACUGUGAGGGAAAGAUGAAAAGAACUUUGAAAAGAGAGUGAAAAAGUACGUGAAAUUGUUGAAAUGGAAGGGUAGGCCGCUAACCAUGUAGAGCCGUGUUUGGGGGGAAGAUAAAUGCUGUAGAAUGUAGCUACCUCCGGAGUAUUAUAGAUGCAGUUCAUAUUCCCACCCGAGCGCGAGGAUCUCAGGUUCUACUAAAUGUGUUUCCC
rnacentral:rRNA from 1 species